UACAGAGGUCUCAAGCGUUGUUCGGAUUCAUUGGGCGUAAAGGGUGCGUAGGUGGUGAUGCAAGUCUGGUGUGAAAUCUCGGAGCUCAACUCCGAAAUUGCACCGGAUACUGCGUGACUCGAGGACUGUAGAGGAGAUCGGAAUUCACGGUGUAGCAGUGAAAUGCGUAGAUAUCGUGAGGAAGACCAGUUGCGAAAGGCGGAUCUCUGGGCAGUUCCUGACACUGAGGCACGAAGGCCAGGGGAGCAAACGGG
rnacentral:rRNA from 1 species